GGCUGAGUAAUGCACAGGAACGUGCCCCAAAGUGAGGGAUAAGCACCAGAAAUGGUGUCUAAUACCGCAUGUGGUCUUCGGAUUAAAGCUUUAUGCGCUUUGGGAGCGGCCUGUGUCUGAUUAGUUUGUUGGUGAGGUAAUUGCUCACCAAGACUACGAUCAGUAGCUGGUCUGAGAGGAUGAUCAGCCAGACUGGAACUGAGAACGGUCCAGACUCCUACGGGAGGCAGCAGUAGGGAAUUUUCCACAAUGGACGAAAGUCUGAUGGAGCAACGCCGCGUGCAGGAUGAAUGCCUUCGGGUUGUAAACUGCUUUUACUAGAGAAGAUUUUGACGGUAACUAGUGAAUAAGGAUCGGCUAACUCCGUGCCAGCAGCCGCGGUCAUACGGAGGAUCCAAGCGUUAUCCGGAAUUACUGGGCGUAAAGAGUUGCGUAGGUGGCAUAGUAAGUUGGUAGUGAAAGCGUCCCGCUCAACGGGAUAUACAUUAUCAAAACUGCUAAGCUAGAGGACGAGAGAGGUAGAUGGAAUUUCCAGUGUAGGAGUGAAAUCCGUAGAUAUUGGAAGGAACACCGAUGGCGUAGGCAGUCUACUGGCUCGUUCCUGACACUAAGGCACGAAAGCGUGGGGAGCAAACGGGAUUAGAUACCCCGGUAGUCCACGCCGUAAACUAUGGAUGCUAGCUGUAUGCCGUAUCGACCCGGUAUGUAGCGAAGCUAACGCGUUAAGCAUCCCGCCUGUGGAGUACGAGCGCAAGCUUAAAACAUAAAGGAAUUGACGGGGACCCGCACAAGCGGUGGAGCGUGUUCUUUAAUUCGAAGGUAAGCGAAGAACCUUACCCAGGCUUGGCAUCCUUGGAAGGUCUCCGAAAGGAGACUGUGCCUUGUGGGCCAAGUGACAGGUGUUGCAUGGCCGUCGUCAGCUCGUGUCGUGAGAUGUUUGGUUAAGUCCAUCAACGAGCGCAACCCUUAUAUUUAGUUGAAUUUUUCUAAAUAGACUGCCCCGGUAACGGGGAGGAAGGAGGGGAUGAUGUCAGGUCAGUAUUACCCUUACGCCUGGGGCUAGAAACACGCUACAAUGGCCGGUACAAAGGGCAGCUAAGUCGCGAGACGGAGCAAAUCCCAUCAAAACCGGUCCCAGUUCGGAUAGCAGGCUGAAACUCGCCUGCUUGAAGCCGGAAUCGCUAGUAACGGUAGGUCAGCACACUACCGUGAAU
rnacentral:rRNA from 1 species